AGUGAUUCUCAGCCUUUUGACUAAGAAUAAGUGUAGUAUCUGCUCUUAUCGGUUUAAAACCUAUAGUUCAUUUUUUCCUUUAAAGAGAAGUUUUAAUUUUUUUGUUUUAGAGAGGAAGAGAGCAAGAGAUAGAAACAUCAAUCAGUUGCCUCCUGCAUGCUCGCUACUGGGGAUCGAGCCAGCUACCCUAA